rnacentral:lncRNA from 1 species
AGACCCCCUCCCCCUUACCGAGCUAUCUUCUUCUUCAUUCUAAGGAAAUGAACAGACUCUCUCUCUCCGGGCGGAGCACGAACGGCUCCUUUUCUCAUUUUCUUGAAGAUAACACACACAAGAGCACUCUAAUCCCAACUAUUUCCAGAUCUCAAACAUCCAGCUUCCAUUGCCGGCGAGCUUCGUUGGGAACCGGCGGAAACUUAGCCGAAAAUCCCCCUAAAACCAGCUCCAAAAUCAUCCUUUUCUCAUCUCAAAAUCGAACUGAAAAUCAGUCGAACAACAGACAUCGACACCUCGAUUUUUUCUCCUUUGUACCAGCUGAAACUCACAUGAAAAGGUCAUUGUUUGUUUAGCUCUGAAAUCUUGCAUUGAAGUUGUGCUCGAAGUCGAGCUUCGCCGAAAAACGGUUAGCUCGUCAUCUUUCAAUCGAGUCUGUCAAUUCUAACUGAGGUUCUAGCCGAUUUCGUUGCUGCUCGUAGAGGUUAUCCGAUCGAAAAUUCUGUUCGUCGACUUUGUUGUUCUUUCUCGUUUGAUUUCGGAAUCAAGGGUUGUGUAUUUGCUGUUUCUUUCCAUUGUUAUACUGAAGAAAAUUCUCCUAACAGGUUCACUUUGUUCCUCCCCUCCUCAUUUAGGCUUGUUUAGAUGCAAUCUUUCUCCGUUACUUGCGUUCUAUCUUACUUCUGUGUUUACAUAGUAGUGAUUUGAAUCUGCUUGAUUUAAUCAUUUCGGAUUGUAACUCGAUUUGAUUCCGUGAUCGCUAAAUUGGCAUUUGAAUUGGUUGUGUUUCUUCGCCGAGGAUGAUUUGAAAUUGAACUCUAUAUUUUCCUACAUGGCAUUUCGGUUAUUUUAUUGCAAAUUGGAACUUUUUUUUUGCCAACUUAAAGAUUUGAGAACUCACUAUCAAAGAGUUAUAUUUGGAUUGUUCUUUAUACUUGUUGACAUUUCAUAUGUAAUGUUAGAGAUUACCUUUUUUUUUAAAAACAAACCACAUAUACUAAUUAAUUGACCGCAAUAGAAGCAUUGUUCUUCGGUGCUCAUGACAGUCCUUAAAAUCGCUGUUGCAAUGUUUGUCCUGUUCAAGUGAAUUGUAAAUGGAAUUGUGUUCAUUUGUUUGAUAUGUGUUUUCUGAGAAUUCGUUUUGAAUGAAUGUCUUGUGAGGCCUUGGGAUUUGGAUUCAUUAAUUUUCAAGAAUUAGAGUUAGAUGGACAUAGUGAUUUAGAUGAGAUCAGUGAUGCGUUAAAUGAUUUCUUUUGCUCAGUUCAACAAGAGCUGUAGUAAUCUGAUCCUUGUAAAUAAAUGUAACUAGCCCAUUUUGCUCAUUUAGUUCAUGAUAAAUGAUUACUGAACAUGUUCCAAAAUCAUUAGUAUGCCUUUAUGCACAUUCUCGCAACAAAUAUAUCGUGAUUGUGUAUACGUUUGCAUAAAAUAAUUACGAUUUCAAAAUAAAUUGGAGUAUGCGUUCACUCAACUUCGAACAAAUUUUCUUAAUAAUAAAAUUGUUUUAAUAGGCCACUAAUUAAAUUUAGUUCAUAUAGCCGAGGUGUGCCAUCCACCAUUUAAUCAUACAUGGCCCUCGUAUAAAUUCCACACCCUAGAUAUAAAAAUGAAUCUCGUAGUUUGCUUUAAGCAUGUAAUUAAGUUAUUACAACUACAAGUACGGUUCCCGUGACGUGGUUAUGACACUUAGUUUCUUUAAAUAAUUAGGUAUAAGUAGGAGUAUUUUUUAUUUGCCUUAGCGAAAUACAAAUCUUUUCUUUUAAAUAAAUUGAGGAGCGCCAUACGCAAACAAAAUCCAUAAUCUAUGGCCCCCAUAUUGAUCAUCUUAACUAGUGUAGAAAAUGCCUUGAACUUUCGUAGUUUACUUUAGGCGCGUUAAUUAUAUAAAUUGUCAUAGCUACAGGUACGGUUCCCAUGACGUAGUUGUGAUACUUAAUUUCUAAAAUUCGGGGGUACAUUUAUGUGACCCGAACACAAUUUAAUUUUGUUAAUUAAAAUAAACAUGUUGUAGAUCGUAGGUACGGUUCCCGUGACAUGAUCCGCAAUAUGUAACACUAAUUUAUUAAAAGAGGUCUAAAAAAAAUAAAAUGCACACAUGUUUAAAAUGUUUUAAAAUCAAAUAAAUAGGCCAAUAAUAAUAGUUGAGCAACCGUGCUAAAACCACGAAACUCGGGAAUGCCUAACACCUUCUCCCGGGUUAACAGAAUUAUUUACUCUGAUUUCUAUGUUCGCGGACUGUGAAACAGAGUCAAUCUUUACUCGAUUAGGAAUUUUAACCGGUGACUUGGAACACCAUAAAUUAUCCCAAGUGGCGACUCUGAAUCUUAAAUAAGUAAUCUCGUUUCGAUUGUCACUUAAAUUGGAAAAAACACCCUUGUACCCUUCCGGGGGUAGGAAAAAAGAGGUGUGAUAGCUCUGGCGACUCUGCUGGGGAAAAGAACCCAAAACUUCUGGAUCAGGGUUCAGAAUUCGAGCUUAGAAUAACUGUUAUAGUUUUACAACCCAUAUCCACACGCGUUAGUUCAUGCCAUAUAUUAGUUAACAUAUAUUCAAAAAGGAAUUACCUUUGAGAUGAUAAGAAGUUAAUCCUAUUGGUCUUAAGUGAUACAAGGGUGUAUAAGGGUGAUUAACAAGUAUUAGAAGUUAAACGAAUCAAGGAUGUGGUAACUUGUAUUUUCAGGUAAACCUAGAGGUUUUUAAUACACUCAAGGUCAUGUAUUAAGGCGUUUGAAUCAUAUAAUAUCCGUAUCAUAAGUCUUGAGAUCAAACGAGUUAUGAAACAAAAGUCGACAAACGUUGUCGCAACUUAGGUUCAUAAUUUUACUUAAACAUUAGGUUAAAUAUUUCUAAGCUUUUCUCCUAAUUUACAAGGAAUUACGGGGUGAUCUACCCACCAAAUUAAAGAUCUACGAGUCUAGUUUCCAACGCAUUAAACCAUUUGUCAAUACGAUCUUGGAGUAUAGAGAUAUUCAUAUUUUCGCAAGCCUAUGCAGAUUGGUAGAUGACAAGUAAGUGCAUCACCUACUUGCCAAAAUGAUAGGACAAAAUUAAAUGACCUAAGUCGGCCAAGAGAGGACUUUUAAGGGAUAAUGAACUCAGUUAUUUCAUCCAUAUUUCAGACCCUCAAAACCAAAGUUAACCCCUGCAACUCCUCCCCAAAAAUCCCAUACAAACCCUAAUCGAUUUUCCCUCUCUUUCAAAUUCUAUUUGAAGGUAAAACCUGGAGUUUGAAGAACCAAGGGAAGGGCUGAGUUAUCCAACAAGUAAGGUAAGUUACCGCCAUCUUUCAUCAUUUUUCUCUGUUGUGAAUUCAUGGUAAUUCGUUCUAUACAUGUAAGAACUCACGGGACGGUGAUCGGAAGCCGUGAGUUCGAGUUAUUCACUUGUAGCGGACUGUUUUGUGGAUUGUUUUGUGUUGCUAUUGGGUUGCGUGUUUUACUACAAUUUUGUGGAGUUUUGGAGGUAUAAGGGUGUGGAGGAACACCAUAUAUAUGUAGGGUUGUGGGAUGAUAGUGAUUCUUAACAUUUCCGGGUCGUUUGACACGACUACGGUGGUCGUCAUAUGUAUGAUGUAAUUAGGUUGUGCAUGGACUGUUUUGGGAGGCUCAAUAUGUUUAUUAUUGAUGUUGUUUGGGUUGUUUGGUGAUUUAUUGGAAUGGUGUGAAGUCAUAUAUAUAGGGGAGGUGCUGUCCGUUUCAACGUAAAAUAGGUUGUGGUCGAUACAUAAUAGUUAUGAUGCUUAAAUGAGAACGAUAGUAUCGUUUCUCUUAUUGUAGACUAAAGAGUUGUGACAAUUGCAUAGCUUGUGAUUGGGGCAGUAUAUACAAGGUAUGUAAGGCUAUCCCUUUUCUUCUUUUGCACGACUCUGAUUGUACAUAAUGUAAUGAACGAGCUUCCAAAGAUACUCUACUCUUAGAAGCUAGCAGUACUUACAUUGUUUUCCCUCUUAUGGAACGAUUGAUGUUAAUGUUGCUUCUCUUAUUCUUAUGUUAUCAAUGUUGUUGGUACUUCCUGAUUCUUAUAAGGUUCCUAAUGAAGAGUUGGUCCUAAUAACAUGUACAGAGGAUACCGACCUUACGUCACUCCGAAAGGUUUAGAAUGUGAUUCCAUGAGUCGAGCAUGCAUUAUAUAUAUGUAUCUAUUUUAAUCUACCGAGCUGCGCUAUAGUCGGCCGGGUACGACACAUAUUGUGCAACAACUGAUCAGUUGAUUUUUACCGAGCUCCACGUGGCCGGGUACGAUUCUACCGAGCCUUAUGACGACCGGGUACAUUUUGACCAAGCCUAUUAUGGCUGGGUACAAUAUGAUGAUGAUGAUUCCCAUAGAGGCGUAUGUUUUAAAAGUUUAUGUAUACAUACAUAUGUAUCAUGCAUUCCAUGUCAGUAGCCCUUAGAGGUACUCAGAUGUUCCAGGUUGUAUAUUCUCUAUCCCUGCUUACAUUACUGUUCAUAUUUAUGGUUCCCUGCCUUACAUACUCAGUACUUUAUUCGUACUGAUGUCCUUUUGUUUGUGGACACUACAUGUCGUGCUGCAGGCCCUAAUAGACAGGCAGGUGCAGCUCCUCCACCACAGUAGGUUGUCCAGUUCAGCAGUGAUUGGCGAGAUCCCUUCUCCGGACUUGCCGUGGUCUUGGUAUGCAUUUCUGUUAUAGACAUUAUGGGUAUGUCGGGGCCCUGUUCCGGCAAUGUUGCAGCACUUAUGUUCAUUUAGAGGCUCAUAGACAAGUAUCGACUCAUGUAUAGUUUGGUAUGCCUUCUUGGCUGGUUUUUUUUGUAUAGUC